rnacentral:rRNA from 1 species
ACCCGCUGAAUUUAAGCAUAUCAAUAAGCGGAGGAAAAGAAACCAACAGGGAUCGCUUUAGUAACGGCGAGUGAAGCGGCAAAAGCUCAAAUUUGAAAUCGGCCACCAGGUCGAGUUGUAAUUUGUAGAUUGUAUCUUGAGAGCGGAUUAAAGUCUGUUGGAACACAGCGCCUUAGAGGGUCACAGCCCCGUAAAAUCUAUUCUCAUUGUAAGAUACUUUCGAAGAGUCGAGUUGUUUGGGAAUGCAUCUCUAAGUGGGAGGUAAAUUCCUUCUAAAGCUAAAUAUUGACGAGAGACCGAUAGCGAACAAGUACUGUGAAGGAAAGAUGAAAAGCACUUUGAAAAGAGAGUGAAAAAGUACGUGAAAUUGUUAAAAGGGAAGGGUAUUGAAUCAGACUUGGUGCUGUUGUUCAACUGUGUUUCGGCAUAGUGUACUCAGCAGUACUAGGCCAAGGUGGGGUGUUUGGGAGUGAAAAAGAAGUUGGAAGGUAACUCUUCGGAGUGUUAUAGCCUACUUUCAUAGCUCCUCAGGCGCCUCAGGACUGCGCUUCGGCAAGGACCUUGGCAUAAUGAUUCUAUACCGCCCGUCUUGAAACACGGACCAAGGAG